GAUGAAGAACGUAGCGAAAUGCGAUACGUAAUGUGAAUUGCAGAAUUCAGUGAAUCAUCGAAUCUUUGAACGCACAUUGCGCCCGCCAGUAUUCUGGCGGGCAUGCCUGUCUGAGCGUCAUUUCAACCCUCAUGCCCCUAGGGCGUGGUGUUGGGGAUCGGCCAAAGCCCGCGAGGGACGGCCGGCCCCUAAAUCUAGUGGCGGACCCGUCGUGGCCUCCUCUGCGAAGUAGUGAUAUUCCGCAUCGGAGAGCGAUGAGCCCCUGCCGUUAAACCCCCCACUUUCCAAGGUUGACCUCAGAUCAGGUAGGAAUACCCGCUGAACUUAAGCAUAUCAAUAAGCGGAGGA
rnacentral:misc_RNA from 1 species